UACGUAGGGGGCAAGCGUUGUCCGGAAUCAUUGGGCGUAAAGCGCGCGUAGGCGGCCCUGUAAGUCCGUUGUGAAAGUCGAAGGCUCAACCUUCGAAAGCCGAUGGAUACUGCAGGGCUAGAGUCCGGAAGAGGCGAGUGGAAUUCCUGGUGUAGCGGUGGAAUGCGCAGAUAUCAGGAGGAACACCGGUGGCGAAGGCGGGUCUCUGGGCCGAUACUGACACUGAGGAGCGAAAGCGUGGGGAGCGAACAGG
rnacentral:rRNA from 1 species